rnacentral:rRNA from 1 species
UACGGAGGGAGCUAGCGUUGUUCGGAAUUACUGGGCGUAAAGCGCGCGUAGGCGGCUUUGUAAGUUAGAGGUGAAAGCCCGGGGCUCAACUCCGGAACUGCCUUUAAGACUGCAUCGCUUGAAUCCGAGAGAGGUGAGUGGAAUUCCGAGUGUAGAGGUGAAAUUCGUAGAUAUUCGGAAGAACACCAGUGGCGAAGGCGGCUCACUGGACCGGGUAUUGA